GACGAACGCUGGCGGCGUGCCUAAUACAUGCAAGUAGAACGCUGAAGGAGGAGCUUGCUCUUCUUGGAUGAGUUGCGAACGGGUGAGUAACGCGUAGGUAACCUGCCUGGUAGCGGGGGAUAACUAUUGGAAACGAUAGCUAAUACCGCAUAAUAGUAGAUGUUGCAUGACAUUUGCUUAAAAGGUGCAAUUGCAUCACUACCAGAUGGACCUGCGUUGUAUUAGCUAGUUGGUGAGGUAACGGCUCACCAAGGCAACGAUACAUAGCCGACCUGAGAGGGUGCUCGGCCACACUGGGACUGAGACACGGCCCAGACUCCUACGGGAGGCAGCAGUAGGGAAUCUUCGGCAAUGGACGGAAGUCUGACCGAGCAACGUCGCGUGAGUGAAGAAGGUUUUCGGAUCGUAAAGCUCUGUUGUAAGUCAAGAACGAGUGUGAGAGUGGAAAGUUCACACUGUGACGGUAGCUUACCAGAAAGGGACGGCUAACUACGUGC
rnacentral:rRNA from 1 species